UUUUGACUGAUUUUACAGACAAAACACCUCCAAACUCAUUUUCUUCUUUAAGCCUGCUGAAGGGUAGUAUGAUCAAUGAAAGACUUUCAAGCACAAAAUUAUCUUGCAUCAGGGUGAAGCUUUACGGAAGAAAUGGAAUGGAACUAUGUUUCCAAGGAGAAAAAGAAAGGCUAUGCGAGCAAAAUGGUGUGGAGACUCUGGAAUUGGCACAGUUCGAGGUCCAGGGAGGCCCGAGCUGGCCUGGCCUCUGAGGCUGUAUUUAUACGGAAUGACAGUGGGCUUCUGGCAGCAAGCAUGUGCCAGCAACACGGACGGACCUAGAGAGUGGUAUACCGAGAGAAGCAAUAUCACGUGACAUCCUUUACGUGUGGAAUCUAAGAAGAAAUGAUACAAAUGAACUUACAAAACAGAAACAGAUUCACAGACU
ensembl:lncRNA